GGGAGGUUCUGUUCUAAAGUUUUAAGAAAUCCAAUCCCAAAAUAAAUUGGCAAAACCAAGUUUUGCGGUCCACCAGAGAACAGGAAUAGUACUGUUUGCUGUAAAGAAUGCUACAAAGUAAGUAAUGGCAGAAAACAAAAAAACUGAUCGUGAAUAAGAAAUAAUGUAACAGUUUAAGACAGCUAACAGUGCUAAAAAAAUUAAUUGAUUAAUUAAUCUUGCCUUUCUGAUUCUACAGAGGUUAAUAUGUGGAGCCAAUAUCUGAGACUGUAAAUAUAAAUUAUAGAAUAUAGUAGAAAGGAAGGCUAAAUGUAACUGCCUCUGUGGAAAGAAACUAAGCCGUAUUAGCAGUAAAAGUGAUAUUGGAGUUCUUGAUCAAAAUAUUAAACCUAUAAAGAGAAAGAUAGACUUGGAAUUCUCAUAUAACCUAAUAAUAUAACCCAAAAUUGCUAUAAAAUGCAUUGACGGCAAAUGUGCACAGGGACCGCGAUUCUAGAAUUAAAUUAAUAACGGUCAAAAAGUAGUAAAAGUCAAAAUAUCUCUAAGUCUAAUAUCUCACCACACACCACUAUUGCUACUCCAAGGGCACCCACUCACCACAGCUAAAUUCACUUCUCACAUUAGGACGCUACUGUCAAGGUUGGGCUACCUGGCUUCCUUCUCCGGUCACUCCUUUUGUAUAGGAGCAGCCUCUUCCACAUCAUCAAGAGACCGGGCCGCUGGAAAUCAUCCAUUUACAAUACUUGCAUAUCACAACCAGAGUAGGAGUUUCGGCAAGUUUUCAGAAGUCUAGCUUUGUAAACUUGCAAUAAAGUGUGUUUACUUUGAAUUCUCCUUUUGCCCUCUUAUUACAGGCCAACUUGUGAAUUGGUUUCUGCACAACUCAACCAACCUUCUACAAUCCAUAACCUAGUGAAAUUCUGAGCACAAAUU